rnacentral:lncRNA from 1 species
CAGAUACUAAAGGAUGGUGGUGAGAUUAAGUGGGAUAAAGAACUAGAGCAGAGUGAUAUCAGCAGGAAUCAGACCUGUCCACUUUGGGGAAGGAGUUCAUGUGGAUUUGGCCAGGGCCUUUUGGGGACUACAUCAGAUGUGGUGAGCCUUGUUCUUCACUUACUCCAAAGAGAUGUGUGAAAUGAGAUGCUUUCUGUGAGAAGAAUGAUUUCCUGAGACAGAAUGCCAAUGCAAGGCAGCCAACACAACCAGUUUCCUGCUUCCAGUAAGUAUUUGAUGAAUGUUUAUUGAAUGGAAUUUAAAGAAGGGUUUGAUUCUUGUUAAUGA